GUCUAGGUGGCCCUAAUGAAUAAGGUGUCUGAUUUAGAAUCAGAAAGAUUGCUGGUUCGAAUCCAGUCGUUGACG